GCACGUGAUCUGGGUUACCUGGCAACGGGGAAAGUUUGUGGGCGGAGCUUCUAUGGAGGGCUGGGGCCACAGGUAGAGUUACCAGGUGAAGGUAUGAAGAAGACAGGAAUCUUGGGCACUGGUGCACAAUCUCAUGGCUGGAGACCUCCAAGAAAAAAAGUGAGAUCAAUUACACAGCGGUAAAACAUCUUCUGUGGGGCUGUGGUAACUACAACCUGAGAGAGACUAUUCAGGCCAAGGCAAAAGACAAGGAAGCAGAAAGGUCAAUAUGAGGGAGAUGCCAACAUCCCUGGAUAGUGACUCACACGUGCUCUCGGUAGGACAGAGGUACAAGAAGGAUGGGAACCUUUGGUAGAGGUGGGACAUUGCUGGAGACCUUCAAUCAGAAAGGGAGAUGUAUGACAGAGCAGCAUAAUGGCUACUGUGGGUCCGUCACUGUCAAACGCACACUGGGAGAGAAUAUUGAUGCCAGUAUUAUAGAUUAAUUAAAGCAUUCCAGGGCAGCUAAUUAUCUUCUGUGUAAGCUUCAAAUCCAUAGAGGCUCAUGGGAGGCUUCAAUAGGGCUCACUCAUUAAGCACAUUGGCCAUUAGAAUUAAUAUUCCUUAUCAAAGAUUCAUGAGCUGAACCCCCACAUCUCCUUACUGGGGUCCCACUUAUCUAAGCAGCAUGUAAACAUGUGCUGAACUUGCAGCCAAUCACUAUCAGGAUAUAAACAUAUAACGUGAUUGGCUGUAAACUCACUUUUUUUUCUCUGGGAUCAGAGGUGAGCGGAGCAUUGAUACACGGGGGCAUUAAGGGAAAUAAUGGCAGAAAUGAAAGAAAUGAUUAUUUGAGUGUGACACUGGCUAGUGCCUGGGAUAUUAGCCUGGCUUUUGUGUAUAUUCUAAUAGAAAAUAUCAUUAUGGGAGGACUGGGGAAACAGGCAGACUACAGACAACUCAGGAUAAAUACACAGAAGUACAUCCUGGCAUUUGGCCGCACGACUAACUGACAGUUAAAUAACGGAUUUCUCACUUUCAUUUCUGGGAUCAGAGGUAAGUGGAUGCACAGCACACACUGGGGGGACAAUUUAUGGGAAUAAAUGAAUUAUAAUGAUAUAAAUGAAGAAAAUCACUACUAAAUUGAGUCACUAGGUGGUGUCUGGGAUAUUAGCCUUGGUUUGUCAUUUUA